AUGUCUCUGAUAAGGCAACUUACUAUGAAUGUCUCAAAAUUCAGUUGACGCAGCUGUAUUUGGGAGCUAUGUAAUGUACUUGGAAGUGUUCUUGUUCCUCUAUUCUGGUGAGCACAGGAGGGUCCUUGCCAUGGGGUUUCUUGCUCUAGCAUUGUCAGUCCCAGCUGAAUCUUUGCAUUUUCAGAGAUGAACACCUGUGUCUAAGGACUCAUUAUUCUUCCACUUCAGGCCAUGGGGCAACACUUUCACUGUUUUGAAUAAAUGGGAACAGGCUGAGUGGCAAAAAUGUGCUGCUCUCUUGCAUGAUGUGCUAAAGGCACCAGGUGUUCUCCCUGCAGGACCAAGUUUGCUCUGGUUUCCAUGAAGACCUGUGGGGAUUACUGCCAAGUUACUUGGAAGCUCUGUGUCAUUUCUCUCCUUGUUUUUAAGCUGCUUUCCAAACAAAACCCAAAACAAACAGAAAGCCAGGUGACAUCCUUGUUCUUGUUGGCAGCUGCUUGUAUCUCCUGCAAUGGAAUGGCAUGACACCUUCUCUUCUUUUGGCCACUGCAUUGACUUGGCAGGAUCUGAGACAAGGUAUGGCUUACACGGGGGAUCCACUGGCAUCCAUCUCUUACACAGAUGGUGUGAGAUGCUUUUGGGCUGAUAUUGAUGCUUCAUGUCUGCCAUAGCUACUAAAGCCAACUGUAAAGCAAGAGAACCAAAUUAAUGUUCUCAGCAAAUUUGUAAACAAAGUGAACACUGAGCCCCUUGAACGUUACUGGUGAGGCCAGUCCCUGGUGUAAGCAAGUGCUUUGACACAAAUGGCUGCCAUAGUGUUGUAAGGGCAUAUUAAAAGACUAUUAGCUAAUGUGCUAUCUUUGCUUACAACUCUGGGCCUUCACCCUGACCUGGAACUGUGGCAACAACCAACCAUGGGAGGGACAGGGAUGAGGCUCUAAAACACCAAGAUGAUAAAUUCAGAGCAAGAAAAAUAAAAUAAAAAAAUAAAAAACUCAUUUGUAUUUAAUUAAUAAAUUUGUUCCUUUGUGUGAAUUUUGACUACAAGGAAAAAAAAAUCACACUGAAAAGACUAAAUAUAACUCAACAAUGUGUCCAUCUACAGCAGUUCAACAUGCUUUUCUCUUUUACACUUUUGUGUGGUCCAGUGUAGUAUAAAUAAUUGCCAUUGUUAUAUACCCAUGCAAUAGAUGAGGAACAUGGAACAUGCUCCUGAGCAUGCGUGUAGUAGCAUGGGUAUGGUACGUGAGUGCAGCAAAUGACAGUGCUCCAGAGAGGGAGGUCUGGCCUAGCCAGACCUAGGGAGGAGGCAUGGUGUUUCUCAGCUUGUUGGGCUUGCUCAGCACAGGCUGAAAGGAUAGCCAGGUUUCAAGGUAUUGCCACAAGUUACAUUUCCAAUAAUUUCAUCACAUCUACCCUUCAGAUUUUAUGGAGCCAGUUGCUCAUUUUAGGCAGAUGGAAAGAAUUCCAAUUUGCUGCUAUUUCUGUCCAGAAGAAGAAAUAAGGCAAAACUGGGAGAGGCAUGGCUAUGAUUAUUCUUUGUUACAUGAGAGGACCAUUUGUACUUCCAACUUGCUAGAGACUGUUAUAGCUUACUGUGAACGUAGAAAUCUUUCCAGUGAUUUAACAAGGAUUACUUAAUCACCCGCUUAAAUGCAGUUGUUCUGGCUGGAUUCUGACAGUCCGUGUGAAAUAUGCAGUAUGAGGAGGAAAAACAAAACAAAACCAAACCAAACCAAAAAAAAAAAAAAAAAAAAAAAAAAAAAAACACGGGAGUGAAGGAUUUUGUCUUGCAUUUCCAAAACACUUCUGAAAAGUGAAAUUAAUUUGGUUACUGUUUUGCUCAUGCUAUGGCUCCACAGGGCAAAAUCUUACCCAGAAGAGAAGCUUUGCAACACCAAAAACAGAAUCCUGUCUCUCCAAAGGGAUUGGAGCGGCUUCACCUGUGAGGUUUGUGUGGUUCCCUUAAACAGUGGUGAGCUGUGCUAAAAGAGCUUGUGUCCCAUGCCAGCGGCUUCAGCAGGUGAGCUUGCUGGCAGGAAACCGACUGAUUUGGUGGCUGUGGGCUGGGUUUGACCCUGUCAGUGCCUGAGUUAAAUGGCUAGGGAAUGAGAAUUUUAAAAGCUGAGCUUUGUUCAGUAACCAACAGAGAUAAUUGUCAGAGAAAGGUGAUGGACUGUUUGCAGAUUGUGAAAAUUUCUAUCAGUGGUAUGGCCAACCCUGUCCCUGACUUGGGCUGCUCCUGCAGUUGUGGAUAAUAUCCAUAUAAAAUGUUAUCUUGCCAUGUGAAGCUUUUGUUUUCCAUGUUGUUGGUGGAUUUUCAGUUUCAACAUGAUAGUGCGCUAAUGUUGUCUGCCAACAUCCAGAAGUAAAUGAGGAUUGAUAUUGCUCCAGUUACUCAAAACCUUCAUGUUUCUAGCAACUGAACUUGUGACCUCCAGCAGGCUGGCACUGACAUGGGCAUCAGGAAGUUCAGUGUGUUGAAAGGGCACAUAAAUACUCUGAGUCCAUUGGUGAUGUACAAGAGUAUCUUUCAACCACAGAGCUACUGAACAGCAUUACCAUAAACCUUGUUCCUGCUUUGCUUUUUAACCAUGCCUGUCAGAUGGAUUUUAACAUCAUGAUCUCUCCUCAAAGAGAUGAAGUAAAUAAGUGAUUCACUUUAAAUAUUGAAAAAGUACAGUUAUCCUUGUCAAGAAGAAUAAAAUUGCUUUGUAACUUGUAAGAAGCUCACAACCUGCUUGCCACAGAUCUUAGCUCUGCAGACAUUGUGUGUAGGAUGGCAGGCAGGCAAGAUGUGCUCACCAGGGGAUCAGAUUUGCUCAGGGUUCAUCAAGGCAGGAUACUGCACACUAACUAAAGCCCAAGAUCUACAGGUCCACUCUGAUGGGGAGCAGACACAUGGGGCUGAUCCUGGGACUAAAACUGCUUGCAUGGGGAAACAUGCAGGGAGCUCCAUGGUCACCAUGUGAACUUGCACUGGGAGCUGAAGGCACACACUGAAUGUUUGCAGUCAUUGGUGCCUGGAGGAGGCAGGUGCUUUCCAAACCACAUGAGUGACACUGACCACCACAGAAUGAAUUUUGAUGCUGUCAUCCUCACUUGACAGUCACGAUUUUUGAGUAGGAGCUCACGUCUCUGUAAGUGUGUUUUGAGAGGUUUUUGCAACCUGUGGGUGUGGAGGCCCCAUGGCUGCAAGCCAGGCUCAGUCCCUUGCCACAGUGAAGAGUGGGACUGGCUCAACAGCUGAUACAAAAUUUUCCUGUCUCGGUCCCUUUUGUUUGCCGUCACUGUUAAACAUUAACUAAGUUCAGCACCUUACUUUUGUUCCAGCCUACUGCACAAAUGACCACUGCUGAGAAGACAUGUGGCUCUUUUCCACUUGCAGGGUCACCUUUGCUGCAUGGGGACCUGUAUCUGGUGAUGUUAAAACUGUGUUUCUUACAGUUGCUUAUUGGUGGACAAGGUCCAAGUGGCUUUUCUUUGCUCUUCCCUGUCAAAUCUGUGGUGUAUGAAUAUUAAUGCCUUUCACUGAAAUACCAAGGACUUAGCUAUUUUCUAGGUUAUGAUGUGCAGAGCUCCUUAACUGGGCACAGGUGACAUUGUUAGGAAGCAAGUGUAUCACUACAGUUACUGAAGAAAAGAAAGAGUUGAAAAAGCCUCAGAACAAGUCUGCAAAAAGUUCUCAGGGGCAGUUUUGUGGUAACCACCAUCUGCUCUUGACUCCUUGGUUCAGGAGCAGUGUUUGAGUGAAGCCUGUUGCUUUCUAGAUGUGUUUGUGCUUAGCCAGGUAGUAUUACGCGUGCUGCCCAUCUGUAUAUUUUGCUGGGUUAAAGCUGCUUAUGAAAAAGGCUGCAAAGAAAUGUAUUUGAUUAACUUAGUUUGCAACGUACAUGAGAUUUUAGAAAAAUAUAUAUAUUAUAAAGUUUUAAUGUGUUUUGUGUUUUGCAGAUCUAACUCCCCCUUUCUGCCUUCCUUGUGGAGUGGAAGACCACUGUUAACAGGCUCCUCUUGCUUCUUGUUUUUGUAACCACACCAUUAACGGCAUUGCUACAGCUGCAGAGUCAUUCUAGUCUGCCAUUUCCUUUGCUACCUGGUAAAACUUGCUGCAUUGAAAAAGUAAUACUUCCAAUGUUAGUGGUGAAAUGAGUGUUUUGUUCUUGUUCCAUUUCCUGCGUCAGAAUUUCUGCUAUAAGAAAUACUCUGUUACAGUCAACUUGCUUUAAAUCAAGCUUUAGCAUGGCAACAUGUUAAAGAAAAUUUCAAUUUCUUGCACCAAACUCUCAUACACACAAUUUGAACUUCAGUCUUGGUCCAUGGUUCCUCCAGUAAAUACACACACCCUAUCUUAUAAAGUACUAAUGGAUUACAGCUGGAAUAACAGAUUAAAAGGAAGUCAGAACACCUGCCUCUGAUCACCAUAAAAACAUCAGCAAUACCUUUUCCUCAUAUUGCUGGUGGUUUGCUGACUGCAUGGAAAGGGAUCUGUAACUGGUAUUAAUUACAGUGGAGUAUUUGCUAAUUGCUUGUGCUUUACAAUAAAUACUAAUAUACCUGAGGAAGUGAAAUAAAAGCCAUGACAGUUAAUUUCAAUGGAUGCUGUUAGUUUAGUGGGGAAUCUGAUCUUAACCGGUGCUUGAGAUUGUUUAGUAACAGAUUUACAAUUUACAUGAAAAUGAACAAUUUUUUGGUUUUAUUUGUUUGUUUUUUUCCUCCCUUAAGCAAAGCCCUCCCACUGUACUAAUUUUGGUGUCUGUGAACUACCUUUUGGCCUAUCCAGCUGACCUCAUGUCGUCUAACCCACCCCUUGCAACACACCUUUUUUUGCAACAAGAUUUAAAGCACCUUUUCCCCCACUACAUGUUUUGGUAAAACUGCUUUUCUUGGAGAUUCAUGAGAGGGAACCAGAUAGAACAAUAAACGACAAUUUGUUUUAGGGGUGUUUUAGGCAAGAAAAAAAUAUAUUUUAUUGCAUUGUUUGCUUUUUUUCUGAACUCUAGAUUUCUUUAACCCUCAAAUGCAUAAACAAAUUGUUAUAAACUUUUUAAAGUUUAAAAUAGCGUGUAUUUAUUUUGUCACUGCAUUUCAAUACUUGUUCUUUCUUGAAUUUGAUUUCCGUAAUAUUAUAGCAGCAAACUAUCUUUAAUUUGAAGCUUGUGGUAGCAGGAUCAGUAUUUGUCCCCCCCCCCCCUUUUUUUUUUCAGUUUACGCUACUCUAUUUAUGUUAAAAAUUUAUUGUUUCUGUGCCUCCAUUUGAAGUAGGAAUGGACAUAGUGGAUUCCAUGAAUUUCCAGCAACUACAGGAAGUAGAACUUGAAUAAACUUUGCACAAAGGACUUGAUCCCAAUCAACAAAGUAGCUUAUGAAGAUUAAUGGCUUUCUGCAAAGGCAAUUCAGACAUAGCUCUGCGGGAAUUAUAUGGCUUUCUGUUUUAGAAUUGCAUAUCCAAGACUUGAACAAGAAAUUCAAGGUAUUUAUUGAAUUUGAACUUUGUAGAGAUUCUCUCAACCCCAGUUAAAAUCUUGGUAUGCUAAUUUAACAUGCUUCCUAAUUUUAAAAACUUGUUUUAGCUCUGACCAGAAUAGUAGCUAAUGCAGUCAGCUGCCACUUUUGCAGCAGGUUCUCUGUCUUCCUUGUUUCUUAUGGCCUCAGAAAGCAGUCCAAGGUAAAUUAAGGAGAUGUGAUUAUUAGGGCUUCUGAAAGAUUCAGUAGUCACCAAUGAAAAUGUAUAAUAAAAAGAACCAAGCUACACCAACAAGUGAAGUCCCUGAAAAAGCCUGGAGGCAAAAUGGUUAUAAUUAAAACCUGAAAGCAAUGAGUUCAUAAAGAAGUAAACGAAGAGGAGAGCUCUCUGUAAAUGAUGAUCUAAAAAGUGUUCUGGGUUGUGAGACCUCAUUUCAAAUGUAUUCAUUAAAUAAUAUUUGAAUCAUUUAACAGUUUGAACUCUACUGCACUGUUAAUAUCUUAAGGGGACCUUUUUUUUUUCAGUAACAAAGAAGUCUUUGUUCUUAGUCUAUGCUUGGGCUGUGCUUUGGAUAUUAGUUGGAAACCUGAUAGCCUGACAUUGCUCAAAGUCUGUGAGUACAAUGUGAGUCGUCUGCAACUGGGAUUAAAACAGGCCUUUUGUACCAAGAUGCUGAGAGGCCAAGUGAUCCUGGAAAAGCAAUGGUUUUGGAUGGCAGGAGACGUUUAACCCUUUGUGCUUGUGGCAGGGAGCCAGGCGUGUUGCUGUGUGAAGCAGAACCCAAGUGUUUGUAGGGGACGAGGUGGCCCAUGUUGCACAGGGGUAGCCAGGGCUGCUUUGUGUAUGGGUUGUUAGUCUACUUGAGUAGUUACUGUCAAAUAAGCAAAUAGUGCCUUGUAUGGAGAGCAUGUGGGCAUAUCCCCCACCUCCUGUCCCUGCCUCGCUGCCCAGCCUGUGCUUGCUCCCUUUGGAACAGGCCACAGAAUCACAGAAUUGCAGGGGUUGGAAGGGACCUGGAGAAAUCAUUGGGCCCAGCCCCCUUGCCAGAGCAGGUUGCCCAGGUAGGCCUCCAGAUGGGCCUUGAAUAUCUCCAGAGAAGGAGAC